rnacentral:piRNA from 1 species
UGACAUCAGAAUCAGUGUCUCAGAGC